CAGCAACGAUCGCCCAUCCCCAGCCUCCAUCUAGGACUUUGGUGGACGAAGACAUGGUGCUGAUGUUACUGGGGGCCGAUGGGAUCUGUUACAGCUUUUACUGAGGAGAAGUUCCUGAAAAAAAGAAGAAAAAAUAUACAUAUCCUCGAUGUAAGGAGGGCUGCUGCAACACCUGGCCUGGACAGUUGGUCACCUGUGUGAGGUCCUCGGCUCGAUGUGACUGCAGCCUCCCUACAGCCAGCUGCUCUAUUUGUUGCUUUCUGUCUAACCACACCUUACAGGAGGAGGAGAAUGCGGCUGAUCUCCUUUCUCUGCCUCUGUGAUCUGACUUUUCCAUGAUUCACCUCUGAUAGGGGGUCUUUGAUCAGUUAGAGUACUUUCUCUAAAUUAUUUGGAGCCCAUCGCAUCGUUGCACUCCACUGCAGCAUAAUGAAUCCCUCCCCAUAUUACCUGUAAAUUACGUUUAAACUAUAAAAGCAAAAGUUGAUACAAUAUGUUCUUUUGGUUAUAGAUUCAUCCGCUCGCAAUGCAAUGAAAAUAAAAAUAGUUGGUUUG